rnacentral:tRNA from 1 species
GGCGCCAAUAUGCUGGUGUUCUGGUGCUCCGGUUUGCAGCCGGCGUGAAAAGGGAAGCCGGUGCAAGGCCGGCGCUGCCCCC